CGCAUGCGCGCUGGCGGUGUGGGCUGUGGCCACGGAGUUUGUCUGGUGGUGGAAGGAGGGGGUGGCUGCGCCCGCCAUGCUGGGGCUCGUGUUUUUCUCUUCCGCUUCAGGCUUUGGUGAAAUGGGCUGAGGAAGGGGGAAUUGAACUGAGAGACUCCUUGUCCGUCCCCCAUUUCUUUCUUUUUUUUUUUUUUUUGAGAUGGAGUCUCGCUCUGUCGCCCAGGCUGGAGUGCAGUGGGACAAUUUUAGCUCACUGCAACCUCCGCCUCCCGGGUUCAAGCAAUUCUCCUGCCUCAGCCUCCCGAGUAGCUGGGAUUACAUGCGCCCGCCACCACACCUGGCUAAUUUUUGUAUUUUUAGUAGAGACGGGGUUUCACCACGUUGGCCAGGCCGGUACCGAACUCCCAACCUCAGGCGAUCCACCCGCCUCGGCCUCCCAAAGUGCUGGGAUUACAGGCGUGAGACACAGCGCCUGGCCUGUCCUUUUUAUGUAUUGCCAUAUUUUCUUUUCUUUUCUUUUCUGUGAGAUCCCUGUUGAGUUUUGUUAACAAGGCUAUGCUGAUAUAAUGUGUGGAGAAGUGUUCUCUCUUUUUCUAUUCUUUGAAAGUGCUAGUGUAGGAUUGAUGUUAUUUAUUUUUUAUGUGUUUGGAAGAAGUCACCAGCCAUCUGGACCUAGAGUUUUCUUUGUGGAAAGACUUUAAAUUACAAAUUCUAUUUCUUUUAUAAAAAUACAACUAUUCAGAUGUUCUAUUUUAUUUCUGGGUCUCACUCUGUUACGCAGGCUGGAGUACAGUGGCACAUUCUUGACUGACUGCAACCUCCACCUCCCAGGCUCAAGCGAUCCUCCCACCUUGGAUCUGUGCUGGGAGAGUACUUGUUGGCAUAUGCUGAUGGUCAUCUGCAUGAUUGGACUCUUCCAUAUCUGCUCCAGAAGCUUGAGUGUCUCCACUACAGGAAGAGUCUUUGUCAUUACUGGUUUUAGAAAAGCUGUCCUCAGAGCCACCAUUUUUCUUGAUGCCUUUCACGGUGACAACGGCCAGCACUUGCCCUGAGGACAUCUCUUCAGGAAGCUCUGCUACAAGAAUGGCGAAGCAAUCUUUUUUCUUGGCAUCUCAUUUUGCCCUGUGAAGAGAUAGGGCUGCUUCUGGGGACUUUUCACUGAUCACCAUCCCCGCCAGGUCAUCCUUGAAAUCAUUUACCUGGACUCCCUAGGGUGCCUUCACAUUACAUGGGGCCUCCUUUUCCUUGAUGUUGUUGGCAAAUUCUUUCACUGGAUUAUCUAUGGGAACUUUUUCCUUGGCACAUUUGUCGGCAUUCAGAUCCAGUGGAGCAUCCUCAUGUGAGCUUUCGUUGGUGAGGUCUUCCACCAGGGUAUCCUCCAUGGGAACUUUUUCCUUGGCUCAUUUGUCAGCCUUUAAAUUUAGCAAAACAUCCCCAUCUGAGCUUUUGUUGGCAAGGUCUUCCACCAGGGUAUCCUCCGUGGGAACUUUUCCUUGGUGAAUUCAUCAGCCUUCAAUCCAGUAGAGCGUCCUCAUCUGAGCUUUCAUUGGCAAGGUCUUUCACCAGGGUAUCCUCUGUGGGAACUUUUUCUUUCAUGCGUUUGUCAACCUUCAAGUCCAGUGAGGCAUCCUUAUCUGAGCUUUCGUUUCCAAGGUCUUCCACCAGGGUAUCCUCCAUGGGAACUUUUUCCUUGGCACGUUCUUUGGCCUUCAAAUCCAGUGGGGUGUCCUAAUCUGAAAUUUCAUUGGCGAGGUCUUCCAGAGGAUCCUCCAUGGCACCUUUUUCCUUGGCACAUUCAUUGGCCUUCCAAAGCCAUGGGGCAUUUUCAUCUGAGCUUUCACUGGCUUGGUAUCCUUCCAGGAUAUCUUCCAUGUGAACACUUGCCUGAGUUGCUGAGUCUGUCAAGUGAACAGCAAGAACCUGUUCAGAGGAAGUGUCGCUGGUCUGCUCCCCUGCCAGGUUGUCCUUGAAAUCUUCAGAUGGCUACCUGCCAGGGUGCACAUGAGGAUGACACCUGCGGUGGCACAUUCUCUCUCUAAAACUGCGCUGGCAGACCAUGGAUUCGCCAUGGACAGUGGAGUCUCCUGAAACCUGAGUAUCCACUGCUGCAUCUUGGAGGCAAUACUCUAGCCUUCACGAGCACCCUUCUACUCCAGUCAGGCUGAAGUCUCCCUCGCUGUCACCGCCACAACUGUAGGAGGUGAGCCACAGAGCCGUGCCAUCUGCAAGCUCCAAACUCCACCUCACCACAGGUGACUCCUCCUUCACUUUCUCCUCCAGCCUUUCUCAGAGUGGCUGGGCGGGCAAAGCCAGAAAAGCCACUCUGGCCACACUGCAGCCUCUGUUGCCACCACCAACUGCAGUGAGGCAAGCCAUGGUGCCACAGGCUCCAACCUCCAGCAUGUGGCAGGUGAUUCCCCUUCCCCUUCUCCUGGUUCUCUAAGCCAGGAACAGAGUAGCUCGGUGGGCAGAUACAGAAGAGCCUAAAAUCUGUUGUACUAUUUUAAGAAAAACUUCUCUUGCCUGUAAUCCCAGCACUUUGGGAGGCCGAGGUGGGUGGAUCACCCAAAGUCAGGAAUUCAAGACCAGCCUGGCCAACAUAGCAAAACCUCAUCGCUACUAAAAAUACAAAAAACAAAAAACAAACAAAAAAAAAUUAGCUGGAUAUUGUAGUGCGUGCCUGUUAUCCCUGCUCUUUGGGAGGCUGAGGCAGGAGAAUCACUUGAACCUGUGUUAGAAUCAAAAUGCUUGUUUCUUGGUGUCGCAAGGAAAAAUUAGCAUUCAGACAAAAAGUUUUCUCAGCAAGGCAAUUUUACUUUCUGUAGAAAGGGUGCUGCCCAUCAGCAAUCCUGCCAGGAGAGCACAAUGAACAAAGAAAGGCAGGAAUAUUUAUCCCUUAUGCAUUGGGUCCUUACUGCUGUGUCCUGUCUCCAUUGGUUGGAGCUGGACCUCACAGUCUAAGCUAAACCCAAUUGGCUAACAACUUAAAAAACUUUCUUAAAUAGGUAAAGGCAAUGGAGAACAAAGGAAAAGAGGAAGUUGCUUGCCAAAAGACUUGGAGAAGUAAUAACAUUUCCAAAUAAGGAAAGGGCAUAAGCUGUGAGCUGGGACAUGCUUGAGCACGUCGAGACCAAAUAUCUUGGUUAACGUACAAGGACACAGAAGGUACUUAUUUCCUUAUAUCUAACAACUACAUAAGAUAUGGUUUAAAAAAGAGUUACUAACACAAAGCAAAGAGGCUUAAAAAAAGUUAAUUAAAAAUAUUAUUUCUAACACUUGUGAUUUAUUAUUUAAUAAAAACUUUAAAGAGAAACUUUUUUACUUUCCACAACCUAGAAGGUGGAGGUUGCUGUGAGCCAAGAUGGCACCACUACACUCCAGUCUGGGUGACAGAGGGAGACUCCAUUUCCAAAAUAAUAAAGUAUGUUUUUUAAAAAAAACUUUUCUGUAGUCUUGAAAUUUUAUUUAUUUAUUUAUUUAUUUAUUUUUUGAGACAGAGUCUCACUCUGUUGCCCAGGCUAGAGUGCAGUGGCAUGAUCUGGGCCCACUUUAGACUCAACCUCCUCGUCUCAAACAAUCCUCCCACCUCAGGCUUCUGGGUAGCUGGAACCACAGCACACACCACCACACCUGGCUACUUUUUUGAUUUUUUUUUUUUUUUUGGAGACAGAGUCUCACUCUGUCCCCCAGGCUGGAGUGCAGUGACAUGAUCUUGGCUCACUGCAACCUCUGCCUCCCGGGUUCAAACAAUUCUUUUACCUCAGCCUCCAGAGUAGCUGGGACUACAGGUGCAGGCUGCCAUGCCCGGCUAAUUUUUCGUAUUUUAGUAGAGACAGGGUUUCACCGUGUUGCCCAGGCUGGUCUCGAACUCCUGAGCUCAGGCAAUCUGCCUGCCUUGGCCUCCCAAAUUGCUAGGAUUACAGGCGUAAGCCAGCAUGCCUGGCCUACUUUUUAAAUUUUUUUGUAGAGAUGAAGACUCCCUCUAUUGCCCAGGGUGAUCUCAAACUCGUGGGCUCAAGUCAUCCUCCUGCCUCAGCCUCCCAAAUUGCUAGGAUUAUAGGUGUAAGCCACUGUGCCUGUCCUGAAAUUUUUAAAAUAAAAUUUUAAAUAAACAUUUUUAAAAUGAAGAUAUUGCAUGGGUGUACGUGGGUAUCAUAUGGAUGUAUCAAGCUCUUUGGGUUUCUUAAAACUUUUCAGGAUUAAAAAUACCCUGAUUUUGCAAAGCACUUCAUAAUUAGAAUCACUUGUAGAAGUUUACCAAAGGUGGCCUGGCCAGGCAUGGUGGCUCACGCCUAUAAUCCCAGCACCUUGGGAGGCCAAGGCAGUUGGAUCACCUGAGGUCAGGAGUUCAAGAGCAGUCUGGCCAACAUGAUGAAACCUUGUCUCUCUAAAAAUAGAAAAAUUAGUCAGGUGUGGUGGCAGUCACCUGUAAUCCCAGCUACACAGGAGGCUGAGGCAGGAGAAUCACUUGAACCUGGGAGAUGGAGGUUGCAGUGAGCUGAGAUCGCACCAUUGCACUCCAGCCUGGGGGACGAGCGAGACUUCGUCUCCAAAAAAAAAAAAAAAAAAGUUUACCAAAGGUGAAAUACACAACGCAUUUAGCAUUCAUACAGCUCUUUGGUAUUAAAAAUCACAUUUUGGGCCAGGCGCAGUAGCUCAUGCCUAUAAUCCCAGCACUUUGGGAGGCCGAGGCAGGUGGAUCAGCUGAGGUCAGGAGUUCGAGACCAGCCUGGCCAACAUGGCCAACAUGGCGAAACCCUGUCUACACUAAAAAUUCAAAAAUUAGCUGGACGUGGUGGCACGUACUUGUAGUCCCAUCUACUUGGGAGGCUAGGGCUGGAGAAUCACUUGAACCUCAGUGGCGGAGGUUGCAGUGAGCUGAGAUUGUGCCAUUGCACUCUAGCCUGGGCAACAGAGCGAAACUCCAUCUCAAAAAAAACAAAAAAAGAAGAAGAAAAUCACAUUUUGGGCCAGGUGUGGUGGCUCAUGUCUAUAAUCCUAGUACUUUGGGAGGCAGAGGCGGGCGGAUUGCCUGAGCUCAGGAGUUCGAGACCAGCCUGGGAAACAUGGCGAAACCCCGUCUCUACUAAAAAUAGAAAAAUUAGCUGGGUGUGGUGGUCCGCGCCUGUAGUUCCAGCUAUUCCGGAGGCUGAGGUGGGAGGAUCAUUUGAGUCUGGGAGUUGGAGGUUGCAGUGAGCUGAGAUUGUGCCACUGUACUCCAGCCUGGAUAACAGAGCAAGACUCCAUUCUCAAAAAAAAAAACCAAAAAAACAAACAAAAAAAACCCCAAAAAUCAAAACCACAAUAACAACAAAAACAUUUUGGAGUUUAUAAUGGAGAGGUUUACCAACCACUUUGGGAUAGAUUGAAAAAUACUCUGAAGUUUGCAGAGCACUUACUUUGAGACAAAAACACAAUUUGGGGUUUAUGAGGGUGAAGCUUUCCAAGCACUUAGAAUUAAAAACCCUUCUUGGUUUAUAAAACAUUUUGGUGCUCAUAGAAACACUUUGAUUGACUAUUAUGUAGUUAAAAAAAAAAAAGAAAACCACUUUGAUACAAAACCCUCUAGGGUCUACUAAACCCUUGCAGAUGUAUUCUGAGGUCAAAAAUCUCAUUUCUGACAGUUGGAUUGCCCCACUUGAGAGAUGGCAAAACUGAGGCUCAGAAGGAGGAAGUUCCACACAGAGGAGUAAGAGGGUCAGUUCCUCUUCUUGUCCUCCUAAACUACAGAAAAUGUUAGGGCCUCACCAGGCAUGGUGGCUCAUGCCUGUAAUCCCAGCACUUUGGAAGGCCAAGAUGGGCAGAUCACUUGAGGUCAGGAGUUCAAGACCAGCCUGACCAACAUGGAGAAACCCUGUCUCUACUAAAAAAAUACAAAAAAUUAGCCGGGCGUGGUGGCAGGUGCCUGUAAUCCCAGCUACCAAGGAGCUUGAGGCAGGAGAAUUGCCUGAACUUCGGAGGCGGAGGUUGCAGUGAGCCAAGAUCGUGCCACUGCACUCCAGCCUGGGUGACAGAGUGAGACUCUUCUUUAAAAAAGAAAAAAAGAAAAUGUUUGGGCCUGGACACUUUGACGGCGGGGCACGUCCUAACCUUCAAAUCACCCUCGAAGCUCCCCUCCGCUGGUUGAAUGGAUGCCACCACAUUCUCGGAGAUCAGCACCUCUCCUGUCUUGUUGUCGGUCAUCUGUGAGGAUCCGAUGAGAGAGUGAGAGCAAACCUGCUUUCCUCCUCCGCCCUCCUUCCCUCCCAACAGAUACUGCAGCACGAGGGAUGGCGGGAUGGAGGGAUCCCAAGGGGACUUCAGGAAGGGCUUCCCUGCAUAGGCACCUUGUCGAUCUGGAGGUGGCUGGAGAGGGUGUUGUUCCCCAGCUGGUG
rnacentral:lncRNA from 10 species